rnacentral:rRNA from 1 species
UACGAAGGGGGCUAGCGUUGUUCGGAAUUACUGGGCGUAAAGGGCGCGUAGGCGGCCUCGUCCGUCCGGCGUGAAAUGCCUGGGCUCAACCUAGGAAUUGCGCUCGAUACAGCGAGGCUAGAGUGUGGGAGAGGUUGGUGGAAUUCCCAGUGUAGAGGUGAAAUUCGUAGAUAUUGGGAAGAACACCGGUGGCGAAGGCGGCCACCUGGACCACAACUGACGCUCAUGCGCGAAAGCGUGGGGAGCAAACGGG